rnacentral:tRNA from 1 species
UCUUUAUCUGAUGUUGAUUGAACGGCGGACUGUUAAUCCGUAUGUCACUGGUUCGAGUCCAGUCAUGAGGAGCCA